rnacentral:rRNA from 1 species
UACGAAGGGGGCUAGCGUUGUUCGGAAUCACUGGGCGUAAAGCGCACGUAGGCGGAUGUGUCAGUCAGGGGUGAAAUCCCGGAGCUCAACUCCAGAACUGCCUUCGAUACUGGAGAGCUUGAGUCCGGGAGAGGUGAGUGGAACUGCGAGUGUAGAGGUGAAAUUCGUAGAUAUUCGCAAGAACACCAGUGGCGAAGGCGGCUCACUGGCCCGGUACUGACGCUGAGGUACGAAAGCGUGGGGAGCAAACAGG